rnacentral:sRNA from 12 species
CCGAGAGAAGGCGACCAUAUCUGCCCCUGGCAUUUCCCUGUUCGUAAGCAGUGACCGCAAGGUAGCAACGAAGUACUCGGACCGGCAGGCGCUGGGUUCCCUGAUCAGGAAGCGCGGCCGGU